UCGAGUUUAUCGACCUCACACCAAAUCAAGCUGGUGAACUAAUUAAAAUAUCUCAGUAGCUAGAGGAAAAGAAAGCAAAAGUUAUUCUCGUAAUAGUAGCAAGCGAAAUGGGAAUAGCUUAAUUAAAUUGUGAAAAUAGAGUUGUGGGAAAGCAAUACAAGCGUCGUGAAUAUGGUAGGCAGUAUCCUAAAUGUUGCACCCUAGAUGGAAAAAUCCGAUAGCGGAAAACAUCACUAGCUUAAGCUUUGAUCCGAGUAGCAUAGGAAAGGUGAAAUCUUGUGUGAAUCACCAAAGACCAAUAGCGAAAAAUCAGA
rnacentral:ncRNA from 1 species